rnacentral:rRNA from 1 species
GUUUGAUCCUGGCUCAGAUUGAACGCUGGCGGCAGGCCUAACACAUGCAAGUCGAGCGGAUGACAGGAGCUUGCUCCUGAAUUCAGCGGCGGACGGGUGAGUAAUGCCUAGGAAUCUGCCUGGUAGUGGGGGACAACGUUUCGAAAGGAACGCUAAUACCGCAUACGUCCUACGGGAGAAAGUGGGGGAUCUUCGGACCUCACGCUAUCAGAUGAGCCUAGGUCGGAUUAGCUAGUUGGUGAGGUAAUGGCUCACCAAGGCGACGAUCCGUAACUGGUCUGAGAGGAUGAUCAGUCACACUGGAACUGAGACACGGUCCAGACUCCUACGGGAGGCAGCAGUGGGGAAUAUUGGACAAUGGGCGAAAGCCUGAUCCAGCCAUGCCGCGUGUGUGAAGAAGGUCUUCGGAUUGUAAAGCACUUUAAGUUGGGAGGAAGGGUUGUAGAUUAAUACUCGGCAAUUUUGACGAAACCGACAGAAUAGGCACCGGCUAA